CUGAGAAGCAAUCACACACAAGUCACCAUCUGAGCUCUGACGUGGGUUUAGGGAGGGGACCAUGGUCCAUGGCCUUAAAUGGGGUAGAGUGAAGAGCAGGGGUCAGGGGAGAUAAUGUGAAUUCUAGGAAAAAUAACAUUUAACUUCGGACUGCUUUUUGAACCUGGGUAGUUUUUUCAUCAUCACAUGACCAAUCUUUGUCAGUGCUUUUAAAGACAGGUCCUCUGGGGCAUAUGGAGACUUUAAUUGGCAAACCAGUGUUCAAAGGACAGGGGUGCUCUGGUGUUGCUUUCUUGGCUUGCAGUAAAACUCAGCCUGUGCCCAAGUAACAUUGUGUGGGAACGUUGUGACUCAAAAUAAUUAACUGUGUAGCCUGCUUAUGCUGAUAAAGUACAUGUGUUCAAAUCCCAAUGGGACCCGAUUCUGACUCAGGAAUGUAUGCCUUUCCUAUGCAAGUCUUUCCUACGCACUUCUCAGUAUUUGGUAUUGCGCCUUACCUUAUUCAGUCUCAUAACGCGCUCUGCAGGUGUGGCUACCUUUCAUUCAACGAAUGAAAACCCUCCCACUUGCUGGCCAACAGGUUUUCUUGUGGAGUUUUCAUUCAUUUAAAUGUACUGAGAACCUUAUUUUAAGCCAUCCUUUUAAAUAUGGUGUACCUUUUUUAGUUAGAUUUUUUUUGCGACAGGCUAGAAUAUAUCAAGACAACAGGUGUAGAAUAUUUGGGAUCAAUGAAAGAAAGCCAUCUAAAUAUAUGCAUAUUGUCUUCGUUUCAGCACCAAUUGGUAGAUGUAAAAAUACUCUGAUCUUGUAGAUUAUUUAGGUUCAGGAAAGUAUUUAUUAAUCAUAAAAAACAGGUUUAGAGAGCCUUUACACACGAAAGAAAGAACGGUGGUUUGAUUCAUUCUGAAAAUUGCCACAUUCAGUUCUUCAACCCAUGGUAAUGUUGGAAGAUUAGUGUACAUAUAAUUAUAAUAGGGAGAAUAGUGUACAAUACUAGGCUAUUGCCUGCACUAACCAUGGAACUGUGUGAUGUCACGGCCAAGUACUGUGCGGUGCGUCGGGUUCAAACUGUUACGGCUUGGUCUGCGCUCUGCUCCAUAACGAUUUAAUUAGCCUACGUGUCUUUAAAAAAUAUAUAUAUUAUCAACUGUUUCCACACGGCCAUGACCGCAUUUACAGAGGAAGCAAAUUAAGAACGAUGGAUGGAGCGAAAUGUGUUGAUGCGGAUCAUUUUCCCCUACUUUCCCACAUGGCGUGUGGAUGGAGAGAAUGAUCUCACUGCUGUCCUGGCAUCUCUCAUACCUCAGCUACUGCCUUCCUCCCUCCAGCGCAGCUAGAGGACCCAGACAGCUCGACCUUUAUGAACCGUUAAUUAACAAGUCAAAAUAUAUCCCAUGAAAAAAACGCCACUGCUUUACGGCAAAGCUAACGCUGGAUGACCCAGACUUGAAAAGCCCAGG